GACGAACGCUGGCGGCGUGCUUAACACAUGCAAGUUGAACGGGUCAUAUGUGAAGGGUAACCGGAGUGUAUGGCUAGUGGCGAACGGGUGAGUAAUGCAUGAGAACGUAUCCUCAAGAGGGGGACAACAUUGGGAAACCGAUGCUAAUACCCCAUAAGCCGGGAGGUAAAAGGAGGAAUCCGCUUGAGGAGCGGCUCAUGUCCUAUCAGCUAGUUGGCGAGGUAACGGCUCACCAAGGCGAAGACGGGUAGCCGGCCUGAGAGGGUGAACGGCCACACUGGAACUGAGAGACGGUCCAGACUCCUACGGGAGGCAGCAGUGGGGAAUAUUGGGCAAUGGGGGAAACCCUGACCCAGCGACGCCGCGUGAGGGAAGAAGGCCUUAGGGUCGUAAACCUCUGUUGUGUGGGAAGAAGAGCGUGACGGUACCACACGAGGAAGUCCCGGCUAACUACGUGCCAGCAGCCGCAGUAA
rnacentral:rRNA from 1 species